rnacentral:rRNA from 1 species
AGCGAACGUUAGCGGCGCGCUUAACACAUGCAAGUCGCACGAGAAAGGGCUUCGGCCCCAGUAAAGUGGCGCACGGGUGCGUAACACGUAGGCAAUCUUCCCUUGAGCGGGGGAUAACGUUUCGAAAGAGACGCUAAUACCGCAUAAGACCACGACCGGUUCGCCGGUUGCGGUCAAAGCUGGCCUCUUCAUGAAAGCUAGCACUUAAGGACGAGCCUGCGGCCCAUCAUGCAGUUGGUAGGGUAACGGCCUACCAAGGCGAAGACGGGUAGCUGGUCUGAGAGGAUGAUCAGCCACACUGGAACUGAACACGGUCCAGACUCCUACGGGAGGCAGCAGUGGGGAAUAUUGGACAAUGGGCGAAAGCCUGAUCCAGCGACGCCGCGUGAGUGAUGAAGGCC